rnacentral:lncRNA from 1 species
CGCCCCUCCAGCAGGGUUGCAAUGGGAGACACCUACUCUCCUCUAAGACCCCGUGCAGGCUGUGCUAUUGAUAAUUGUCAUUGGACACCUCGUGGCUGAGGUAUCUACUCUCCCAGAAGCAGAAUAGGAGACGGGCUGGAGAUACAGCUCAUUUACAAGAGUGCUGUCCUACUGUGCACCAACGGAUCCCCUGCAAAGGGUUAACACGGAGGGGUGGUGCACACCUGUAACCGUAGAACCGAGCAAGGAGAGUCAAGAGAAUCAGGAAUUUAAAGCCAUCCCAGACUUUACACGAAUUCGAGACCAGAUUGGUCUGUACACAAAAACUUAACGAGUUGUAAUUGUUCCGUAUGACCUUAUACUCCCAGAUGCAGCUGAAGCAUACCACGCAACAGCACACAUUUCAGUGAGUGGACAGAGCAAUGGCAAACUCCAAGAUAAAUCAGAAAGUCAGCAAUGGCUUGUGGAGUGCAAUUACAAAGGAAAAAAGACUGCCGAUUACCACUGAAAUGGAGUGAAGUUUCUGGAAAGGAUUGCUGGGCUCCUGGUCUGUGUCAGCAUGGUCGGUAAAACAUCGCACGGAGCUCAACACACCCACUGUCGGAACUAAUUGGCAUUUAAUAAGAAGACCCCCUGAGAGAAGCUUGCUGAUGUGGGCAUUUCUGCAACAUAUCUGUGCAGGGGUGGGGCCCUUUUGCAAAAAUUCUUUAGGAGGGAGGGAAGCAUCAAAUGAGUCAGAUCUGUAUUCAUGGGGCUACCCCCUGGGACAUAACUUGACUCAUCCACAAAUACUGACAUUCCUUUGGAAGAAGUGGACUGCAAAUACUUUCCUGGAGGGAAAGCCAUAACCGCAUUGACCUAACAAUUGCUUUAGCAAGCAUGUAGCCACAAAUAUUAAUCAUCCAUAGAUGCUCCUCUUUAAUAUGUAAUCUGUAAAUGUCCACUGAUAAGGAACUGGUUGAAUAUGUUAUAGUGCAUGCAUACAUGGGAAAAUAAGGCAAUUCUGUGUGGAAAAAAAAAACUUAGGAAAUAUUAACAACUCAAAAAAAUAACUAUGUAUGUAUGUAUAUAUAACAUGAUCCUAUGUGCACAAAAUGCCUUUCUUUUUUUUUGUUGUUGUUGUUGUUUUUCUUUUGAAACAGGGCAGCACUAGCUGGCCUGGAACUCUCCUAUGUAGACUAGAAUGGCUUCAAAUUUAUAGAGAUCUCUCUGCCUCUACCUCCCAAGUGCUGGGAUUAAAAG